AUGAACGCUAGCGACAGGCUUAACACAUGCAAGUCGAGGGGCAGCACAGGUAGCAAUACCGGGUGGCGACCGGCGCACGGGUGAGUAACGCGUAUGCAACUUGCCUAUCAGAGGGGGAUAACCCGGCGAAAGUCGGACUAAUACCGCAUGAAGCAGGGGCCCCGCAUGGGGAUAUUUGCUAAAGAUUCAUCGCUGAUAGAUAGGCAUGCGUUCCAUUAGGCAGUUGGCGGGGUAACGGCCCACCAAACCGACGAUGGAUAGGGGUUCUGAGAGGAAGGUCCCCCACAUUGGUACUGAGACACGGACCAAACUCCUACGGGAGGCAGCAGUGAGGAAUAUUGGUCAAUGGCCGAGAGGCUGAACCAGCCAAGUCGCGUGAGGGAUGAAGGUUCUAUGGAUCGUAAACCUCUUUUAUAAGGGAAUAAAGUGCGGGACGUGUCCCGUUUUGUAUGUACCUUAUGAAUAAGGAUCGGCUAACUCCGUGCCAGCAGCCGCGGUAAUACGGAGGAUCCGAGCGUUAUCCGGAUUUAUUGGGUUUAAAGGGUGCGUAGGCGGCCUUUUAAGUCAGCGGUGAAAGUCUGUGGCUCAACCAUAGAAUUGCCGUUGAAACUGGGGGGCUUGAGUAUGUUUGAGGCAGGCGGAAUGCGUGGUGUAGCGGUGAAAUGCAUAGAUAUCACGCAGAACCCCGAUUGCGAAGGCAGCCUGCCAAGCCAUUACUGACGCUGAUGCACGAAAGCGUGGGGAUCAAACAGGAUUAGAUACCCUGGUAGUCCACGCAGUAAACGAUGAUCACUAGCUGUUUGCGAUACACUGUAAGCGGCACAGCGAAAGCGUUAAGUGAUCCACCUGGGGAGUACGCCGGCAACGGUGAAACUCAAAGGAAUUGACGGGGGCCCGCACAAGCGGAGGAACAUGUGGUUUGAUUCGAUGAUACGCGAGGAACCUUACCCGGGUUUGAACGCAUUCGGACCGAGGUGGAAACACCUUUUCUAGCAAUAGCCGUUUGCGAGGUGCUGCAUGGUUGUCGUCAGCUCGUGCCGUGAGGUGUCGGCUUAAGUGCCAUAACGAGCGCAACCCUUGCCACUAGUUACUAACAGGUAAAGCUGAGGACUCUGGUGGGACUGCCAGCGUAAGCUGCGAGGAAGGCGGGGAUGACGUCAAAUCAGCACGGCCCUUACAUCCGGGGCGACACACGUGUUACAAUGGCGUGGACAAAGGGAAGCCACCUGGCGACAGGGAGCGAAUCCCCAAACCACGUCUCAGUUCGGAUCGGAGUCUGCAACCCGACUCCGUGAAGCUGGAUUCGCUAGUAAUCGCGCAUCAGCCAUGGCGCGGUGAAUACGUUCCCGGGCCUUGUACACACCGCCCGUCAAGCCAUGGGAGCCGGGGGUACCUGAAGUCCGUAACCGCGAGAAUCGGCCUAGGGUAAAACUGGUGACUGGGGCU
rnacentral:rRNA from 1 species